ensembl:snRNA U6 U6 spliceosomal RNA
GUGCUCACUUUGGCAGCAUAUACACUAAAAUUGGAAUGACACAGAGAAGAUUAGCAUGGCCCCUGAGCAAAGAUGACAUGCAAAUUUGUGAAGCAUUCCAUGUUUUU